rnacentral:rRNA from 1 species
GACGAACGCUGGCGGCGCGCCUAACACAUGCAAGUCGAACGAGAGAGAGGGAGCUUGCUUCCUCAAUCGAGUGGCGAACGGGUGAGUAACGCGUGAGGAACCUGCCUCAAAGAGGGGGACAACAGUUGGAAACGACUGCUAAUACCGCAUAAGCCCACGGCUCGGCAUCGAGCAGAGGGAAAAGGAGCAAUCCGCUUUGAGAUGGCCUCGCGUCCGAUUAGCUAGUUGGUGAGGUAAUGGCCCACCAAGGCAACGAUCGGUAGCCGGACUGAGAGGUUGAACGGCCACAUUGGGACUGAGACACGGCCCAGACUCCUACGGGAGGCAGCAGUGGGGAAUAUUGCACAAUGGGGGAAACCCUGAUGCAGCGACGCCGCGUGGAGGAAGAAGGUCUUCGGAUUGUAAACUCCUGUUGUUGAGGAAGAUAAUGACGGUAC